UGUGUAGGCGGUUUGGUAAGUCUGGUGUGAAAUCUCCCGGCUCAACUGGGAGGGUGCGCCGGAAACUGCCGGACUCGAGUGCGGGAGAGGAAAGUGGAAUUCCUGGUGUAGCGGUGAAAUGCGUAGAUAUCAGGAGGAACACCGGUGGUGUAGACGGCUUUCUGGACCGUAACUGACGCUGAAACACGAAAGCGUGGGUAGCAAACAGGAUUAGAUACCCUGGUAGUCCACGCCCUAAACGAUGCACAUUUGGUGUGGGUCAUUCAGUUGAUCCGUGCCGGAGCUAACGCGUUAAAUGUGCCGCCUGGGGAGUACAGUCGCAAGGCUGA
rnacentral:rRNA from 1 species